CUGAAAGCAUCUAAGCACGAAACUUGCCCCGAGAUGAGUUCUCCCUGACUCCUUGAGAGUCCUGAAGGAACGUUGAAGACGACGACGUUGAUAGGCCGGAUGUGUAAGCGCAGCGAUGCGUUGAGCUAACCGGUACUAAUGAACCGUGAGGCUUAACCUU
rnacentral:rRNA from 1 species